rnacentral:rRNA from 1 species
UGAAUAUGGGGGGACCAUCCUCCAAGGCUAAAUACUCCUGACUGACCGAUAGUGAACCAGUACCGUGAGGGAAAGGCGAAAAGAACCCCUGUGAGGGGAGUGAAAUAGAACCUGAAACCGUGUACGUACAAGCAGUAGGAGCACCUUCGUGGUGUGACUGCGUACCUUUUGUAUAAUGGGUCAGCGACUUAUAUUCAGUGGCAAGGUUAACCGUAUAGGGGAGCCGUAGCGAAAGCGAGUCUUAACUGGGCGCUCAGUCUCUGGAUAUAGACCCGAAACCGGGUGAUCUAGCCAUGGGCAGGUUGAAGGUUGAGUAACAUCAACUGGAGGACCGAACCGACUAAUGUUGAAAAAUUAGCGGAUGACUUGUGGCUAGGGGUGAAAGGCCAAUCAAACUCGGAGAUAGCUGGUUCUCCCCGAAAGCUAUUUAGGUAGCGCCUCGGACGAAUACUACUGGGGGUAGAGCACUGUUAAGGCUAGGGGGUCAUCCCGACUUACCAACCCUUUGCAAACUCCGAAUACCAGUAAGUACUAUCCGGGAGACACACGGCGGGUGCUAACGUCCGUCGUGGAGAGGGAAACAACCCAGACCGCCAGCUAAGGUCCCAAAGUAUUGCUAAGUGGGAAACGAUGUGGGAAGGCUCAGACAGCUAGGAUGUUGGCUUAGAAGCAGCCAUCAUUUAAAGAAAGCGUAAUAGCUCACUAGUCGAGUCGGCCUGCGCGGAAGAUGUAACGGGGCUAAGCAAUACACCGAAGCUGCGGCAAUGUCUUUUAGACAUUGGGUAGGGGAGCGUUCUGUAAGCCGUUGAAGGUGAAUCGUAAGGUUUGCUGGAGGUAUCAGAAGUGCGAAUGCUGACAUGAGUAACGACAAAGGGGGUGAAAAACCUCCUCGCCGGAAGACCAAGGGUUCCUGUCCAACGUUAAUCGGGGCAGGGUGAGUCGACCCCUAAGGUGAGGCCGAAAGGCGUAAUCGAUGGGAAACGGGUUAAUAUUCCCGUACUUCUGACUAUUGCGAUGGGGGGACGGAGAAGGCUAGGUGGGCCAGGCGACGGUUGUCCUGGUUCAAGUGCGUAGGCUUGAGAGUUAGGUAAAUCCGGCUCUCUCUAAGGCUGAGACACGACGUCGAGCUACUACGGUAGUGAAGUCAUUGAUGCCAUGCUUCCAGGAAAAGCCUCUAAGCUUCAGAUAGUCAGGAAUCGUACCCCAAACCGACACAGGUGGUCGGGUAGAGAAUACCAAGGCGCUUGAGAGAACUCGGGUGAAGGAACUAGGCAAAAUGGUACCGUAACUUCGGGAGAAGGUACGCUCUUGAUGGUGAAGUCCCUCGCGGAUGGAGCUGACGAGAGUCGCAGAUACCAGGUGGCUGCAACUGUUUAUUAAAAACACAGCACUGUGCAAAAUCGCAAGAUGACGUAUACGGUGUGACGCCUGCCCGGUGCCGGAAGGUUAAUUGAUGGGGUUAGCGCAAGCGAAGCUCUUGAUCGAAGCCCCGGUAAACGGCGGCCGUAACUAUAACGGUCCUAAGGUAGCGAAAUUCCUUGUCGGGUAAGUUCCGACCUGCACGAAUGGCGUAAUGAUGGCCACGCUGUCUCCACCCGAGACUCAGUGAAAUUGAAAUCGCUGUGAAGAUGCAGUGUACCCGCGGCUAGACGGAAAGACCCCGUGAACCUUUACUACAGCUUGGCACUGAACAUUGAACCUACAUGUGUAGGAUAGGUGGGAGGCUAUGAAGACGUGACGCCAGUUGCGUUGGAGCCGUCCUUGAAAUACCACCCUUGUAUGUUUGAUGUUCUAACUUAGACCCAUUAUCUGGGUUGAGGACAGUGCCUGGUGGGUAGUUUGACUGGGGCGGUCUCCUCCCAAAGAGUAACGGAGGAGCACGAAGGUGGGCUAAUCACGGUUGGACAUCGUGAGGUUAGUGCAAUGGCAUAAGCCCGCUUAACUGCGAGAAUGACGGUUCGAGCAGGUGCGAAAGCAGGUCAUAGUGAUCCGGUGGUUCUGUAUGGAAGGGCCAUCGCUCAACGGAUAAAAGGUACUCCGGGGAUAACAGGCUGAUACCGCCCAAGAGUUCAUAUCGACGGCGGUGUUUGGCACCUCGAUGUCGGCUCAUCACAUCCUGGGGCUGAAGUCGGUCCCAAGGGUAUGGCUGUUCGCCAUUUAAAGUGGUACGCGAGCUGGGUUUAGAACGUCGUGAGACAGUUCGGUCCCUAUCUGCCGUGGG